AUGCAUGUGGAGAACUCCUGUUUACAACACCAUAGGCAAAGCAUGAAGCAAGCAUCAAAGUAUAUGGAACUGCUAACUUAGAGGUCGAACCUGAAAAUACACUCUGUGAAAGGUCAACCAAAAGCAUGACAAGGAGAGCAGGUCUCAUAAGCUACAGAGUCUGAGUUAGUUGUUCCAGAUUCACAGAAAAGAAAGCUAGAGUGAAGCAACUGUGCAAAAUGAUCUAAACCAGCAUAAACAAUGACACAGUCUAAGAGAUGGUUCUACGCCAGUGCAAGAAGUUAGCAAAGGAAAUGACUUUGAUGAGAAUUUCUGUGAUAAAGAAGCAUGUUACUUGCAUUUCUCCAUUCCACCCCCGACCCCAUCAAGUCCUCAAAAACUCUACUUCAAAUAAAAACCCUUUUCACAAGC